rnacentral:rRNA from 1 species
GGCGAACGCUGGCGGCGUGCCUAACACAUGCAAGUCGAACGGAGUUGAAAGGAGCUUGCUUUUUUCAACUCAGUGGCGGACGGGUGAGUAACGCGUGAGUAACCUGCCUUUCAGAGGGGGAUAACGUUCUGAAAAGAACGCUAAUACCGCAUAAGAUUGUAGUUUCGCAUGGGACAGCAAUCAAAGGAGCAAUCCGCUGAAAGAUGGACUCGCGUCCGAUUAGAUAGUUGGCGGGGCAACGGCCCACCAAGUCGACGAUCGGUAGCCGGACUGAGAGGUUGAUCGGCCACAUUGGGACUGAGACACGGCCCAGACUCCUACGGGAGGCAGCAGUGAGGGAUAUUGGGCAAUGGGGGAAACCCUGACCCAGCAACGCCGCGUGAGGGAUGACGGUUUUCGGAUUGUAAACCUCUGUCCUCUGUGAAGAUAGUGACGGUAGCA